UCACAUUUUCAUACCACUUCCUCUUCUCUCCCUCCCUUCUGUUUUCUCCUCCCCCUCCUCUUCCCCUUGUGCCAUAGUAAAAAUAGAACCAAAGACUUGCAAGCUUUUGCUCUGGUGUUUACACCGCCAUGACCCUCCCCACUGCUCUCUCUCUCCUAGCAGUAGGGUUAUUACUCUCAUUCAUCUCAGCCUGUUCUCUCUAUCCUCCAUGGGAGCCAAAGCACAGACACAAGAAAAGAGGUUGUCAGACCAGGCUGGGAGCAGAGAGAAGGUCCUCAGGUCACAGUGGAAACAAGGAGAAGACAGAUGAAAUAGACAAAAUUGGUCUACUGGAACAUCUUCCUAUGCUAGGUGUCUGACGCAAGUCUCCUCCACACAGAGCACCUUGGCCGCUGAAAGGGAGUGUUGGAGGAACAGAGGUGACAUGCAGGGAGAGGGGAGAAGAGGAGAUAAGACAAGAAAGAGGAGAGGAGAGGGCAGGAGACAAGACAAAAAAUGAUGAUGAGACUAGGUGAGAAGACCGGGCAAGAGUGGACGCAGGGGGAGGAGAUGUCAGGAGAAAAGACAAGGAGAAGAGACAAAAACAGGACGUACAAGAGGAGAGAAGAUGAGCCAAAGAGAAGAGAGGAAAAGGAGAGAAAUAUUAAAGGGGAGAGGGGCAAAGACAAAAGGAGAUGAGGAUGGAGGAAAGCAGGAGAGCGGGGGGAAAGGAGAAGAGAUGCAAUUAGACAAUGAGAAAACUGGAAAUGAGAGGAGCUAAAAGGGGAGAGGAAAGCUAACAAGGAGUAAAGCAGCAAAGGGAAAAGGAAACAAGGCAAGGAGAUAAGGAGGAGGGGAGAAGGUGAACAGAAGAGGAUGGAGAAGAGAGGAGAAAAAUACGAAAGGACAUGAAAGGAGAGGAGACCAAGAUGAUGGCAAAGGAAAUAUAAAGAAAAAGGGGCUAUGAAAGAAACGAGAUGAAGAAAUAUCAAGGGAAAAGAUGAGGAGAUGAGUGGAAGCAAGAAAAGGGAAAAAGAGAAGAGAGGAAACAAAUUAAAAUGA